UACGUAGGGGGCGAGCGUUGUCCGGAAUUACUGGGCGUAAAGGGCGUGCAGGCGGCCUUUUAAGUUAGGUGGUAAAUCCCACGGCUCAACUGUGGGGAUUCGCCUAAUACUGGGGGGCUAGAGGGCAAGAGAGGGGAGCGGAAUUCCCGGUGGAGCGGUGAAAUGCGUAGAUAUCGGGAGGAACACCAGUGGCGAAGGCGGCUCUCUGGAUUGUACCUGACGCUGAGGCGCGAAAGCUAGGGGAG
rnacentral:rRNA from 1 species